AUGUUGCAUGAAAGAAGAGAAGGUUAUCACUCCCCUUGACAAGAAGGAAUAGACGCGGGGGACUUAGAAUAUGAGUAUGGUUAAGAUAUUGCCACCUACUUCGUGCGUGGCAUCUACCCACAGUUGUUA